ACGAAGGAUCCAAGCGUUAUCCGGAUUCAUUGGGUUUAAAGGGAGCGUAGGCGGGUUUAUAAGUCAGUGGUGAAAGCCGAUCGCUUAACGAUCGAACUGCCAUUGAUACUGUAGACCUAGAGUACAGAUGAUGUUGGCGGAAUAUGACAUGUAGCGGUGAAAUGCAUAGAUAUGUCAUAGAACACCGAUUGCGAAGGCAGCUGACAAAACUGUAACUGACGCUGAGGCUCGAAAGUGCGGGGAUCAAACAGGA
rnacentral:rRNA from 1 species